AAGAGCAGUGUACUAUGUUUCCUGUGUCACUGGUGUUGUGUCUGCUCUCAUUUCUUUUCGUGGUGGAUGGCAUUGAGCACACCCAGCCAAGCUCAGUGGCUGCAAAGCUAGGAGCAAACUUAAGGAUUACAUGCCAAGUAUCUGGGAUGUCAAUCACUACUAGCAGCUACUUUAGAACAGGUUGGAUUCGGCAGCCAGCAGGAAAAUCUCUGGAGUGGAUCAAUGCCAUAGAUUAUGAUGGCGAGGAGCACCAUAGUGAUAAACUGAAGAACAAGUUCAGCGUCUCCAGAGACACCACGAGUAACACAGUGACUCUACAGGGCCAGAAUCUACAGGCUGGAGACACAGCUGUGUACUACUGUGCCCGAGACUCACUGUGAGAUCAAACAACCACUGAUGCAUACAAA